GAGGGUGUAGCUCAGUGGUAGAGUGCCUGCUUAGCAUGUCAGAUGUCCUGGGUUCUGUCCCCAGUACUCCCA
rnacentral:tRNA from 1 species